rnacentral:rRNA from 1 species
UACGGAGGAUGCGAGCGUUAUCCGGAUUUAUUGGGUUUAAAGGGUGCGUAGGCGGACGCUUAAGUCAGCGGUAAAAUUGCGGGGCUCAACCUCGUCGAGCCGUUGAAACUGGGUGCCUUGAGUGGGCGAGAAGUACGCGGAAUGCGUGGUGUAGCGGUGAAAUGCAUAGAUAUCACGCAGAACUCCGAUUGCGAAGGCAGCGUACCGGCGCCCAACUGACGCUGAAGCACGAAGGCGUGCGUAUCGAACAGG